rnacentral:rRNA from 1 species
UACGUAGGGUGCGAGCGUUAAUCGGAAUUACUGGGCGUAAAGCGCUCGUAGGCGGUGUGUCACGUCGGCCGUGAAAACCUGCAGCUUAACUGUGGGCGUGCGGUCGAUACGGGCAUCACUGGAGUUCGGCAGGGGAGACUGGAAUUCCUGGUGUAGCGGUGAAAUGCGCAGAUAUCAGGAGGAACACCGGUGGCGAAGGCGGGUCUCUGGGCCGAUACUGACGCUGAGGAGCGAAAGCGUGGGGAGCAAACAGG